rnacentral:rRNA from 1 species
CGCGUAGGUGGUUUGGUAAGCGAGAUGUGAAAGCCCCGGGCUUAACCUGGGAACGGCAUUUCGAACUGCAGCUAGAGUGUGGUAGAGGGUAGUGGAAUUUCCUGUGUAGCGGUGAAAUGCGUAGAUAUAGGAAGGAACACCAGUGGCGAAGGCGGCUACCUGGACCAACACUGACACUGAGGUGCGAAAGCGUGGGGAGCAAACA